GGUCAGUUGUCACUCCUUCCAUUCUGUGACAACUCCUUCUAUAAUAUGCCAUCUCCAAGGUCACUGCAGGAGGAGGAAAUGAGUGUGGAGGUUCAAGAGUGACUGCAGUAUCACCUUCCCCAGAGAAGUUUGCAUCUUGAUGGAGAACUGUUAAGAAUGUUUUGUACCAGAGCGGUAAUAACCAUGUGCUGGUGUAUUGUGUUGCCUACAGAAAGUGGUGUCAGAUCAACAGUAAACUGGAAAUCAGACUACAGGAGAGAAGCUGAAAGGGAGCUUUGCAGCCACUGAUUUCUGCAUUCUGCAACUCACAGAGCAAACCAGAGUCACUUGCAGGAGAGCACAGCAGCGAUGCUGGGCAGCUGGCUGAGCUCCAUCAGCAAGGAGACCUCUACCAGAGGGCACUCUCAAAGCCACUGAACUGGUAUCAUUUGAAUACAUCCCUGAUGAGUACAGACUUCCUUUUCAAU